AUACUUACCUGGACGGGGUCUAUGGGUGAUCAAAAAGGCCCAUUGCCUAGGGUGUUGGCCUCCAUUGCACUUUGGAGGAGCAACGCUCUAAGAUCUCCCCAAGUGGGAGAGUCUACGUCAUAAUUUCUUUCUGAGGGGGCCUGCGUUCGCGCGGCCCCUAU
rnacentral:snRNA from 1 species